rfam:Salmo salar isolate Sally breed double haploid chromosome ssa13, whole genome shotgun sequence.
AAUGUACCAAUUUGUAAGUCGCCUCUGGAUAAGAGCGUCUGCUAAAUGACGUAAA